rnacentral:rRNA from 1 species
GUAGGUGGCGAGCGUUAUCCGGAAUUACUGGGCGUAAAGCGCACGCAGGCGGCUAUGUAAGUCUGACGUGAAAGCUCCUGGCUUAACUGGGAGAGGUCGUUGGAAACUGCGUAGCUUGAGGCAAUGAGAGGGGUGCGGAAUUCCCGGUGUAGUGGUGGAAUGCGUAGAUAUCGGGGGGAACACCAGUGGCGAAGGCGGCACCCUGGCAUUGGCCUGACGCUCAGGUGCGAAAGCGUGGGGAGCGAACGGGAUUAGAUACCCCGGUAGUCCACGCUGUAAACGAUGAGCACUAGGUGUGGGCAGUAUCAAAGCUGUUCGUGCCGAAGCAAACGCGAUAAGUGCUCCGCCUGGGAGUACGGCCGCAAGGCUA